rnacentral:lncRNA from 1 species
AUUAAAUUUGAAUAAAAAAAUUAAAAUAUGAAGUCGUACUCAAAUCCGUCCGAAUAUACACUACAACAGAAUUAGGUUAUAGGGACACAUGUUUGGGACACUUUUGAGUAAGUGUCUCAUUUAUGCUAAAACUUAAAAACACAUCUAUUAAUGCCUAAAUAUAAAGCCCAAUCCCACCAAAAAUAAAAGAUUACUCUACUCAACCCACCACACCCAGUCCAUUUGGCCCGAUUACAAAUAGAAAAGAAAAAAAAAAAGAAAAAUCAAUUACCAUCUUUUCUUCUCUCUUCACUCAAUCCACUGAAAUUCUAGACGAAGAGCCUUUACUGUCGUCCUCAUCCGCCACCGCAGCCAACGAGAUAGAGUUUCGGCAGUUGCUAAAUGCUUAAAUAAGUGUUGGUAAAUUAGCAGUACUCUUUUAGGUUAUAGCGACACUCUUUAACUGUCACUAUAUACCUAGCGACCCCACAUAUAGCAACACUUUUCAAAAGUGUCGGCAAUUUUAGCUAGCAGCACUUUUUUGACAUGUACCUACAUUUAAAAGUGUCGCUAUAGACCGUUUUUAUUGUAG